rnacentral:rRNA from 1 species
UGAGGAAUAUUGGGCAAUGCCCGCAAGGGUGACCCAGCAACGCCGCGUGGAGGAUGAAUGUCGUAAGAUUGUAAACUCCUGUUAAAGGGGAAGAAUAGUACCGGUUGGACCGGUAUAUGACUGUACCCUCAGAGAAAGCCCCGGCUAACUACGUGCCAGCAGCCGCGGUAAUACGUAGGGGGCAAGCGUUGUCCGGAUUUACUGGGUGUAAAGGGCGCGCAGGCGGGAUAAAAAGUCAGUGGUGAAAUCCUACAGCUUAACUGUAGAACUGCCUUUGAUACUUUUAUUCUUGAGUUCGGGAGAGAGAGACGGAAUUCCAGGUGUAGUGGUGAAAUACGUAGAUAUCUGGAAGAACACCAGUUGCGAAGGCGGUCUCUUGGUCCGACACUGACGCUGAGGCGCGAAAGCGUGGGGAGCAAACA